UACGUAGGCAGCGAGCGUUGUUCGGAGUUACUGGGCGUAAAGAGUGCGUAGGCGGUUUUCUAAGUUUGGUGUGAAAUCUCCCGGCUUAACUGGGAGGGUGCGCCGAAAACUGGAAGGCUUGAGUAUGGGAGAGGUAAGCGGAAUUCCUGGUGUAGCGGUGAAAUGCGUAGAUAUCAGGAGGAACACCUGCGGUGUAGACGGCUUACUGGACCAUAACUGACGCUGAGGCACGAAAGCGUGGGGAGCGAUCCGG
rnacentral:rRNA from 1 species